CAUGUAGAUUGCAUGCAGGUUGAAUUUUUUGGUUACUUUGCAUCAGUCUCUUUUGUUGGAUAUUGUACUGAAGCCAAUGGCAUGACAUAGAUCGGCCUGCAGCUUCCAGGAACCUGAGAAAGGUGAUGAUUUAUGUUAUUUUGCUACUGUGCUGCAAGCAAGGAAGCCAAUUGACAUGCUGGAAGAGUUUAUAGAAAGCCAAUUAACAUGCUUAAAGAAGCAACUGAACUCAACAUUUUCAAUCCUUAGGUCCAUCGAAGAUUUUCAUACUCAAGCUUCUCUGACAAUUGAAGGUGUGAUUAUUUGGGUCUAUUGGCUACAAUUGAACUCAGCUCUUGCUUCAUGAGUUAAUUCCUGCAUUUGAUAAUAUUGUGUCAAUUUGAUAAUAUGAUAUAUGUAAGAAGCCAGUGACAAACGA